UACGUAGGGUGCGAGCGUUGUCCGGAAUUACUGGGUGUAAAGGGUCCGCAGGCGGGCAGGAAAGUCAGAGGUGAAAGACUUCGGCUCAACCGAAGAAUUGCCUUUGAUACUUCUUGUCUUGAAUCCGAGAGAGGAUAGUGGAAUUCAUGGUGUAGCGGUGAAAUGCGUAGAGAGCAUGAAGAACACCAGUAGCGAAGGCGGCUAUCUGGCUCGGUAUUGACGCUCAGGGACGAAAGCGUGGGUAGCAAACAGG
rnacentral:rRNA from 1 species